rnacentral:rRNA from 1 species
AGUGAACGCUGGCGGUAGGCCUAACACAUGCAAGUCGAACGGCAGCACAGUAAGAGCUUGCUCUUACGGGUGGCGAGUGGCGGACGGGUGAGGAAUACAUCGGAAUCUACUUUUUCGUGGGGGAUAACGUAGGGAAACUUACGCUAAUACCGCAUACGACCUAAGGGUGAAAGCAGGGGAUCUUAGGACCUUGCGCGAGUGAAUGAGCCGAUGUCGGAUUAGCUAGUUGGCGGGGUAAAGGCCCACCAAGGCGACGAUCCGUAGCUGGUCUGAGAGGAUGAUCAGCCACACUGGAACUGAGACACGGUCCAGACUCCUACGGGAGGCAGCAGUGGGGAAUAUUGGACAAUGGGCGCAAGCCUGAUCCAGCCAUACCGCGUGGGUGAAGAAGGCCUUCGGGUUGUAAAGCCCUUUUGUUGGGAAAGAAAAGCAGCAGGUUAAUACCCCGCUGUUCUGACGGUACCCAAAGAAUAAGCACCGGCUAACUUCGUG